AUGCUCAGAGGUUGCUGCCUGUUGUGUCUUGGGAAGGGUGAUAAAAUCAUGUUAUCUCCUGGCUUAUUUUUAUUUCAUGGCCUUGCCUUCUUGGGACUGUUCCUUUCUCAGAGAGAACUGCAUGGAAGAGAAAGGAAUAACCCCCGGUCUCUUGACAUUAGAGCUGCAAGCCUUGGAGACCUUCCUCGACAACCUGAUUCGUGCUGCCCCUGCCAUACCUGCCACCUGUGUUCUGUCCUAGAGAACUUCUGUUCUGAACACAGGUCUCAUGUCUGUGACGUCUGCACCCUUCCGUCGAGCCCUUUGUCUCACUACGACACUUCUGCUGCUAGGCCCUCCCCGCAGAAACUUCUCAGACCGUCUGCAGCCAUCUGCAGCCUUCUUGGCUCUGUGGACCGUGAGUCUCUCCGGAGCAGGGACUAUGCAGACAGCGACUCGGUCCCUGGAGCAUGGGAAGCAACCAGGCCGUGGAGUGUGAAGGUGGAGGCAGGGCCCUCCUUCUGA
rnacentral:lncRNA from 1 species